rnacentral:rRNA from 1 species
GAUGAACGCUAGCGGCAGGCCUAACACAUGCAAGUCGUGGGGUAACUAGAGUGAUAGCAAUAUUACUUUGGCUAGACCGGCGCACGGGUGCGUAACACGUAUGCAACCUACCUUAUACUGGGGAAUAACUUCGAGAAAUCGGCGCUAAUACCCCAUAACAUUGCGAAGAGGCAUCUCUUUGCAAUUAAAGCUCCGGCGGUAUAAGAUGGGCAUGCGUCCAAUUAGCUAGUUGGUGUGGUAACGGCUCACCAAGGCUACGAUUGGUAGGGGUUCUGAGAGGAUGAUCCCCCACACUGGUACUGAGACACGGACCAGACUCCUACGGGAGGCAGCAGUGAGGAAUAUUGCGCAAUGGACGAAAGUCUGACGCAGCCAUGCCGCGUGCAGGAUGACGGCCCUAUGGGUUGUAAACUGCUUUUGUACGGGAAUAAACCCUUCUACGUGUAGGAGGCUGAAGGUACCGUAAGAAUAAGCACCGGCUAACUCCGUGCCAGCCGCCGCGGUAACAC